ensembl:lincRNA
AUGCUAGGAUGGCCAACUCCAGGAGGACAAGGUCUUCUGUUUCUGAAUCACGUUCAAGUGUGCCGCUUGGGAUGCUCCCUGGCCAGGCCCAGGGCCAUCUCCACAGCAGCUGUCGACGCUUGUCCAAGACCUGGUGGGAGAAGUUGCCCUUUGGGAGAUGUCAGCAGAGGAAGAAGAGGAGAAUGGAGAGGGUCCAGCAUAGAGAGAAGACGCCGGAGGAAGCCAUCUGAGCUGCCGCAGAUCACGAAUUCACAAGCGUCUCGCGCCGCCCGAACCAGGCACCCUGUUUUGAUGGCACUCAAGUGUGAACUGAUGCUGUGUUUGUUCAGUGAUGGCUUUGACCUCUACCUCUUCCUCUGGUUUAGCAGUUGAGUGUGUGCGAGUGUGAGUUUAUGAGUGAAAUGGUGUGAAUGUGUGUGCAUUAGAGGGUGUGCAUGCCUGCUUGUGUGAGUGUGUAUGUCUGUGUGAGUAUAUGUGUCUGCGAGUGUGUGUCUGUGUGUGUGUGAGUAUAUGUGUUAGUGUGCAUCUAGAACCAGGCACCCCGUUUUGAUGGCACUCAAGUGUGAACUGAUGCUGUGUUUGUUCAGUGAUGGCUUUGACCUCUACCUCUUCCUCUGGUUUAGCAGCUGAGUGUGUGCGAGUGUGAGUUUAUGAGUGAAAUGGUGUGAAUGUGUGUGCAUUAGAGGGUGUGCAUGCCUGCUUGUGUGAGUGUGUGUGUCUGUGUGAGUGUAUGUGUCUGCGAGUGUGUGUCUGUGUGUGUGUGAGUAUAUGUGUUAGUGUGUGUGUGUGAGUGUGUGUGCGAAUGUGUGUGUGUGUAUCUGUGUGAGUGUGUGUCUAUGUGAGUGUAUGUCUGUGUGAGGUGUAUGUGUCUGUGUGAGUGUGUGUAUGAAUGUUUCUGUGUGAGUGUGAGUAACUGUGUGACUGUGUGAGUGUGUGGCUGGAUGACAGUGGUCGAGGGAGACAGGAACCACACGUGUGGGAACAGGGCUGAGUACAGUCAGCUUCAUGACUGAUUUAGUUAAACUCUUUGGUUUCCAGGAAUAUGCUUGAGUCAGUUGCUGCAUCCACUUUCGCUCUGACCAUCUGUGUUUAAAAGCUCAGAAGGAGCACGAUAUCAGAUUUCCAGAUUUACACUCUCCCUGCACCUUCCAGCCCAAACCAAGCUCUUUCCUAUUCAGACUCUCCAUUGCUGCCUUCUGCAUGUGGGGGCACAGACCCCCGACUAUCAGUUGUCUUGUGGGUGGGGAACAUCCAGUCACUAAGGCUGGGAGUUUUCAGUGGGAAGAGUGAGGGGUCACUGCCCACUUCCCUGGUGGACCCCCAAGAAGCUCUCUCUUUCCCUGGAGCUGGUUUGGUGUGAUGGGCUUAAGGGAUGCUCCUCCAGGCAUCCUGGCUCAUAGGAGAAGGGCGGUUCCCAGGAAAGAGGAAAGGUGAGGGAAACAUCUCACCAGUGAUUCCCAAACCACGUGAGCAUUAGCAUCAUCUGAGAGCUUUUUUACAAAGCACAUCGCCUGAGCCACUUCCAGGAUGUGCUAACUCAGAAUUUCCAGAAGCGAGCCCAGCCAGGGUAUUUCCAAGCAGCUCCCUAAGCGAGGGUGAGAUGAACACUAAUCUGUCUUGAGGGUUCUCUGUGGUUUAACCCAGCUCACCAGGGGAGGAAAGCAAGCAUUUGGAGCAGGAACUCCAUGAGAGGCCCCCUUCCACUCUUUGCCCAGUCACUCCUACUCAUCCUGUACAUCUCAGUUUAUACCUGCCACCUUCUCUCAUCCCAUAACCUGGGUCAGGGACCCUUCGCUUGGUCCCAUGGCAGUCUGACGUUUUUCUAUUCUAGUUCCUAACCUUCUGAAUUAUUACCUUUUUUGUUAUUCAUGGCUCUCACCGAGCAACAAGAAGGUAGGGAUAAUGUUCUGUUUGCGUUAUACUCCUAGAACCUGGCAGAGAGGUAGUCAAUAAAGAUUUUCUGGGGGAAAAAACCCAAGCACAGAGUGGUAGAAAGGAAGUGGAGGCAUCGAAACCAGGCAGGACAGGGAACAUGAUUGACACCUGGAAAGCUUCCCUCAUUUCCAGGCACUGGCCCACAAUAGCAUCACUAUAACAUGUAUCAGUCAGCUAUUUCUAUAACAACGCUGUGUAACAAACCACCCAGAGCACAGAAGUUUAGAACAACAAUCAUUUACUGCUGGGAGCCAGCAUGAGGAAUUCCACCCGUGACAAGGUCAUGCGGCAGAGCUCUGAUGGCAAGGCUAAUCAGACCUUAGGUUUUCCCCCUGGAAUUUCCUGAGCAUCCACCCCCCCAAAAAUAAGAAUCUGCCUGCUUUCCCACUCUUCUAAUAUUCUCUGGAAAAAGUCAACUCAGGGCUUUAGUCUUCUGCAUUUGAAAGGGAUGUUUCAGUUAAACCCCUCUGAUAGCUCUUUAGCUUGCCUCAACAGGUUCCCCCGGACCUCUUACAGCUUGUGAAUUGCUUACACCGCCCCCCCAACUGCGAGAGGCACAGAGCUUAAAGCAUCUUAAAGACACAGAGCCUUUUCUAAAGAGUUAAAAAUCAUAUUGGUGACGGGUUUUCACUGUUGACUCAAUGACUGCUGCCAGGCCUCCAUAUUCUUUAUCUUUUAGGCACCUGGGAGAAUGUUAAUCAAUGUAAACGGGAUACGGAAAAAGAUAUAUAGUAGUUCUGAUGUUAGCAACACUAGACUUUUGAGUUAAUUUUCUCUUGGUUAUAUAUCACUGCACUCCUCUUGUGUCCUUACUAUGUAAGAAUGUAACUUUAUUUAGUGCUCUCUCCUCUUUACUUUAAUUUCAGGCUGAAUUUCCAUCUGGGGCGCGGAGGCUCGCCAAGUCUACUUACUUGCCCUGGCUGUUAAGAUCCGCGCAAAAAGGAGCCUAAGACGAGGCACCCUUAGAUAUUCAGGCGAGCACCGGUGGCCCAACGUAGAUGGUACAAAUUCCUUGUCUGGAAUUUUAUUGGUCUUCCACGUAAUCCAAGUUAUUCAGCCCUCUUUCUCCACUUAAUUUUCGUACUACACUAUUUCUCCCUAAUCUAAUUUUAUAUUUCUAUAUUAAUAAAUAAAUAGGUUUUCCUCGCCAACGCCGUCCUUGCUUCGAAUUCCCUGGAUCCACCAGGGCUGGACCCAGGUAAUUUACCCUUACACUCACAGGUUCACUGCAGUGCAGCCGGACUUCAAGUUGAACUCAAGUUCCACAUUUCUCCUUCUGGCUUCCAGGCUGAAUGGGUCAUGAACUUAGGGUACAUUCCUCUCCCAGCAGAGAUCAGAAGAUUCCAGAGAACAAGCCAGACUAUGGAAGGAUGUUUAUAGCUUCUGCCUGCAGAAGCCUGCCUUCUUCAGAUUUUGAUCUUUUUUUUUUUUUCUUAAAAGGGACAACAAUGACAAUAUUUAACAUUUGUUGAGUCUUUUAAAAAAUUUGUUCACAAAUAAAAGACUUCAGUUCAGUUCAGUUGCUCAGUCACGUGCGACUCUUUGCGACCCCAUGGACUGCAGCAUACCAGGCCUCCCUGUCCAUCACCAUCUCCUGGAGUUUACUCAAACUCAUGUCCAUGGAGUCGGUGAUGCCAUCCAGCCAUCUCCCUCCAUCGUCCCCUUCUCCUCCUGCCCCCAGUCUUUCCCAGCAUCAGGGACUUUUCACAUGAGUAAGCGCAGACUUACUUUUUAAAAUAUUUACUUACAUAUUUGGCUGCACUGAGUCUUUGUUGUGGUACACAGAACUUUUGUUGAGGCCCAUGGGCUUAGUUGCCUUGCAACAUGUGGGAUCUUUGUUCCCAGGCCAGGACUCAAACCCAUGUCCCCUACACUGGAAGGCAGAUUCUUAACCACGGGACCACCAGGGAAAUCCCUGUUGAGUACUUAUUAAACGUCAACCACAGUUCUGUGGACUCUGCAGACAUUUUCUCAACGAAUCCCCAUGAAAAUCCCAGGCAGUAGGUACAAUAUGUGUGCGAUCUGCCUGGGUCACACAGCUGGAAGAAGCAGGGUGUGAACCAGCAGGUCUGACUUCCAAUCCCAACUCAUCUCACUGCUCGAGAGUCUUCCCGUUCUUUCAUUUUCAGACUUGAGUUUGGAUAGAGGUUUCACUUCUUGCCAGGGCUUUAACCUUGGUGGAAAUGAUCUGAGCAAAGUUAUGGAGGGAAAGAUGGAGAAAGAGGUUCUGAGGUAGAGGCUGGAGGAGUUGCUGAAAGCACGGACAGAGCUCAGAGCCACGUUCUCUCGUUUCAUUACCUGGUCUUGAGCUAACCCAGAAAGAACACACAUUUCCAAAUGACUAGUGGCCACUUACCAAGAAAGUAGCCUGUGGCAGAUGGCAGGUACCAGGAGGUUCAUUCCAACCUCCUAGUUUUACAGAUGAGGAAUUGCAGCCUGAGUGAAGGGCAGUAACCCGCCCAGGACAUAUGGCUCAUUAGUGGCAGACCUUGUAAUUCCACGGGGAGUGCUCUGUUUUCCUGCUUGCUCUGUGGGAGCCAUGAAGGGUGGUACUGGGUACCACUGGCCUGGGAGGGGUUUCUGCUUAAUUGAUCCUGACAGAACAUGCUAUUGAUUCUGCAGAAGCUGUCAAAGCAUUUGCACGGUGAAGUCCAACCAAGCAAACAGACUCGAGUCUUCAGCUUACAGCUGCUUGCUUGGCAUCCUGGAGGCACUGCUUUGAUGAGUUUUACUUAACGUGUAGCCACCUGGCACUUGUACAUUCUUGCAAAUGAUUCAGUGGUGGUGAUGUAGAUAUUAACUGUCAGUUCAUGCAU